rnacentral:rRNA from 1 species
AGAGUUUGAUCAUGGCUCAGGAUGAACACUAGCGAUAGGCCUAACACAUGCAAGUCGAGGGGCAGCACAUGAAGUAGCAAUACGGAUGGUGGCGACCGGCGCACGGGUGAGUAACGCGUAUGCAACCUGCCUACAACAGGGGAAUAACCCGUUGAAAGACGGACUAAUACCCCAUAACACAGGGAUCCCGCAUGGGAAUAUUUGUUAAAGAUUUAUCGGUUGUAGAUGGGCAUGCGUUCCAUUAGCUUGUUGGUGAGGUAACGGCUCACCAAGGCAACGAUGGAUAGGGGAACUGAGAGGUUUAUCCCCCACACUGGUACUGAGACACGGACCAGACUCCUACGGGAGGCAGCAGUGAGGAAUAUUGGUCAAUGGACGCAAGUCUGAACCAGCCACGUCGCGUGAAGGAAGACGGCCCUACGGGUUGUAAACUUCUUUUGUAAGGGAAUAAAGUGUAGUACGUGUACUAUUUUGCAUGUACCUUACGAAUAAGGAUCGGCUAACUCCGUGCCAGCAGCCGCGGUAAUACGGAGGAUCCGAGCGUUAUCCGGAUUUAUUGGGUUUAAAGGGUGCGCAGGCGGGAGAUUAAGUCGGCGGUGAAAUUUUGCAGCUCAACUGUAAAAGUGCCUUCGAAACUGGUUUUCUUGAGUGUGGAUGAAGUAGGCGGAAUUUGUGGUGUAGCGGUGAAAUGCAUAGAUAUCACGAGGAACUCCGAUUGCGCAUGCAGCUUACUAAACCAUAACUGACGCUCAGGCACGAAGGCGUGGGGAUCAAACAGGAUUAGAUACCCUGGUAGUC